rnacentral:misc_RNA from 1 species
GUUGCAAGGUAUGUCAAUCAGUUCUUAUAUACCAACGCUAAAUCUUAUUACAGCUCUUAGCAUCUCAAUUUCAUCAUUUUGUUUGUCUUUACUGAUACUAAACUUAGCAUUGGCUGACAAUAAUCUCAUUAGGUAUUUCAUCUGUCUCAACUUUAGAAUUUUAGAUGUAGGUAAAUCAUAUGCUAAUGGAUGUUGGGCCUUGGCCAAGAUUCCUUGAGGCUUACUAACAAAAUUUGUAAAUAAGUUAAUAGAUCUAGAGCCUAGAGUGAAUAAAGGCUUACUGGCGUGACCUAGCCUCCAAAUUAAACUAAAAGUAUGAAAUCACAAAGACU